AUUUUGCACAAUGGGGGCAACCCUGAACCAGCCAUGCCGCGUGUGUGAAGAAGGUCUUCGGGUUGUAAAGCACUUUAAGUAGGGAGGAAGGGCUUUCGGUUAAUACCCAGAAGUCUUUACGUUACCAAUAGAAUAAGCACCGGCUAACCCUGUUCCAGCAGCCGCGGUAAUACAGAGGGUGCAAGCGUUAAUAGGCAUUACUGGGCGUAAAGCGCGCGUAGGUGGUUCAGUAAGAUGGGUGUGAAAACCCCGGGCUUAACCUGGGAACUGCUUUCAUGAAUACUGAGCUAGAGUACGGUAGAAGGUAAUAGAAUUUCCUGUGUAGCGGUGAAAUGCGUAGAUAUAGGAAGGAACACCAGUGGCGAAGGCGACUACCUGGACUGAUACUGACACUGAGGUGCGAAAGCGUGGGGAGCAAAC
rnacentral:rRNA from 1 species